GUGAGACGGCAUGUGUUUACUUUAAUGAUCUUGCUAUUCAUAAUUAUGUCCCCCCAAUGGAAAAAGCUACAUUUUUCUUCGUCGGCGACGGAUUGGCAUUGAAAAUAUGGCCUUUCAGGAUUGUUGCUCGAUAGGGAGACCUUGAGACUACCUGGAUAACCGCAUUCACACAAGGGGAACUUGUUAGGUUUGAAUUCUUUCACGACUUUCGUUUCGUAUGCAUCCAUUAUAAUAUGGUACCUUUCUUCGGGGCCGAACAAUGUUCAUCCUUCACCUCUACAUUUAACUUAUGCACGAUCGUCCUUCUUAGAUAUGAUUCUCUCGAGGCCUGCACCGCAGAAACAUGGAUAUUUCUCAAUCGAAACCAUGAUGUUCAGAUUAUUUGCUCUCUUAUCACAGAUUUAACUCGUUUAUGAAGCACUGUUCAAGCUGAAGUGCAACAAGAGCAUUUUCCCCUAUUUUCAAACUAUUGGCCUUCACAUGAAUAAUCAUGUACAAGUGUAUGAUUUUCUUUGAAAUAGAAUGGGUCUCAUUCAUACUGUUAGUGAAGAAUUGAACAUAAUCACAUUCGAGUGUAAGAUCCAUGCUUGUUCAAAUCAGUAAUCCAUUUUCGGUGCAUUGUUUGAUAUCUUUCCAGAGGGAGCCUCAUCAUUCAUUAACUGAAUUUCUUCCCUCUGUAUGAUACCACACACACCAGAGGAUCUUAUCUUUACAACAUGAUUUUUCUUUUUAAUUACCCUUUAAUAUUGACUCAUGAUCAAACCGAUACUUUAUUCACAUUGUCAGGCAUCUUUCAUUGGGGUCCUUAUCAUUUACUGCAUCAUGUCAGUCGGUAUGUUAAAGGUCUUUUCAAUUUCCUUUAAUAUUGACUUAUGUUCAUCCCGCUCCUUUAUUUGCAUUGUUAGAUACCUUUCCUGAGCGUUCUUAUCAUUUACUGCAUCAUUUCCCUCUGUAGGAUGCUGCCACAGAUCUUCACGGUAUCUAUCUCUGCAGGAUACCGACCUUCAUUACCAACGCCACAUUAUUCAAGGUCAUACUAUUCAAUCGUAAUUUUUAAUUUACAUUUGCGAGAUGGCAAUGAAGGUCGUAUCUCUGGCGCAUGUGCAGUGCAUCUCAACCACUUACGAAACUUAAAGCUUUUGUGGAGAUGCAUACACCAUAAAAACCCUGCAAACAUCCAAACAUGCAAUCGAAGAAGGAUGGCCUCACCACAAUCGUCGUUUUAUACCUUCAGUAUGUACCGUUUGUCUUUUUUCUGUUCCUUAUUUUAUUUUUAGAAAAAUGUGAUCACUGUAAUGAUUUUCUGGUGAAACCCUUAUGUGUACAUGUAUCACAUCUUGCUGAUGUGAUCGCCAAGAUGUUUAGCAAGACGGACAUUGUGUUUGAAUGUCUCAUUUGCGGUAUUUCGGAUUCAGAGACGGAUCGUCUUAUCAAAGACGUUAUCGAAUCAAUUUUUAAUUCGCUUGUAGUUACCGUAAAAAAAUUUUUCUAUGUAAUAUUACAUCGCUUAUGUAUAUGUAUACAGAAGUGCUAACAUGUAAACAGUAAAUUCAUACAUGUUUUUUAUAUUUCUUUUAGAACAAUUAGUGAUUGUUUGAUUUUCAAUAUCUGAUUGCAAUAAAUAUAUAUGUACAAAA